GUCGAGCGGGCGUAGCAAUACGUCAGCGGCAGACGGGUGAGUAACGCGUGGGAACGUACCUUUUGGUUCGGAACAACACAGGGAAACUUGUGCUAAUACCGGAUAAGCCCUUACGGGGAAAGAUUUAUCGCCGAAAGAUCGGCCCGCGUCUGAUUAGCUAGUUGGUGAGGUAACGGCUCACCAAGGCGACGAUCAGUAGCUGGUCUGAGAGGAUGAUCAGCCACAUUGGGACUGAGACACGGCCCAAACUCCUACGGGAGGCAGCAGUGGGGAAUAUUGGACAAUGGGCGCAAGCCUGAUCCAGCCAUGCCGCGUGAGUGAUGAAGGCCCUAGGGUUGUAAAGCUCUUUUGUGCGGGAAGAUAAUGACGGUACCGCAAGAAUAAGCCCCGGCUAACUUCGUGCCAGCAGCCGCGGUAAUACGAAGGGGGCUAGCGUUGCUCGGAAUCACUGGGCGUAAAGGGUGCGUAGGCGGGUCUUUAAGUCAGGGGUGAAAUCCUGGAGCUCAACUCCAGAACUGCCUUUGAUACUGAGGAUCUUGAGUUCGGGAGAGGUGAGUGGAACUGCGAGUGUAGAGGUGAAAUUCGCAGAUAUUCGCAAGAACACCAGUGGCGAAGGCGGCUCACUGGCCCGAUACUGACGCUGAGGCACGAAAGCGUGGGGAGCAAACAGGAUUAGAUACCCUGGUAGUCCACGCCGUA
rnacentral:rRNA from 1 species